rnacentral:rRNA from 1 species
CCUAAACUUUCCAUAGCAAACUGCUCAGUAACACAUGAUCAACUUACCCUAUAGAGAAAAAUAACCUCGGGAAACUGAGGAUAAUGUUUCAUAGUUGAAAAGGCUUGGAAAAGUUUUUCAAUCAAAGGGAUAAAAAAAAUGGUUUUUAUCUGCUAUAGGAUAGGAUCGUGCUCGAUUAUGGUUGUUGGUGAGGUAAUGGCUCACCAAGCCGAUAAUCGAUAGGGGCCGUGAGAGCGGGAGCCCCGAGAUGGGUACUGAGACAACGACCCAGGCCUUACGAGGCGCAGCAGGCGCGAAACCUCCGCAAUACACGAAAGUGUGACGGGGUUACCCAAAGUGUUCAAUUUUGAACUGUGGUAGGUGAGUAAUGUCCCCUACUAGAAAGGAGAGGGCAAGGCUGGUGCCAGCCGCCGCGGUAAAACCAGCUCUUCAAGUGGUCGGGAUAAUUAUUGGGCUUAAAGUGUCCGUAGCCGGUUUAGUAAGUUCCUGGUAAAAUCGGGUAGCUUAACUAUCUGUAUGCUAGGAAUACUGCUAUACUAGAGGGCGGGAGAGGUCUGAGGUACUACAGGGGUAGGGGGUGAAAUCUUAUAAUCCUUGUAGGACCACCAGUGGCGAAGGCGUCAGACUGGAACGUGCCUGACGGUGAGGGACGAAAGCCAGGGGAGCGAACCGGAUUAGAUACCCGGGUAGUCCUGGCCGUAAACGAUGCAUACUAGGUGAUGGCAUGGCCAUGAGCCGUGUCAGUGCCGUAGGGAAACCGUUAAGUGUGCCGCCUGGGAAGUACGGUCGCAAGGCUAAAACUUAAAGGAAUUGGCGGGGGAGCACCACAAGGGGUGAAGCCUGCGGUUCAAUUGGA